rnacentral:lncRNA from 1 species
AAGCCAGGGCAUGCACUUGUGGGAAAAUCAAGAGGACAGCUUGCAGGAGUCAGUUCUCUCCUUCUACAUGUGUCCCAGGGUUUGAACUCAGGCCAUUAGGCUUGGUGGCAAGCCCCUCACCCACUGAGCCAUCGCACCAGACCCCCUUUUGUGUGUUUACUCACCUAUUUUCUAGCCUUUCCUUUUUCUUUUUAAUAUUUGUUAAGAGCUUUCUUCCAGCCUUUGCACUAGAUUUCUUGAUGUGCUACUACUGUCUUAUUUAUUGAAUCAAACACAAAACAUAGAAAAUACAAGUAUUUAAGUUAGAAGUGAAGUUUUAACUAAGAGAGAUAUUCAGUUGAUUAUCCCAUAUAUUGUAGCAGCCACGAACCACAAAAAAUCAACUAAAAUAUAGAAAAUCUGUUACAUAGGACAUCUGGCAUCUUUCUCAUUUUUAAAGAUUGCAUAUGUAUGUGUUAUGUUACGGGUGUGCGUGUGUGUGUGUGUGUUCAUGUGUGUGUGUGUGUGUGUACAUGGCUUCAGGUACCCACAAGGGCCAGAAGAGGACAUUAGAUCACCUGGAGCUGAAGAUAUUGGCAAUUGUGAGCCACCCCAUGUGUGUUCUGUAGCUCUGACAAAAGUAACAGUAGUCUUAACCACUGGGCCGUCUCUCCAGUGAUAUCUUUUUAUUAUUUUUUAAUAUUCUUUUUUAAAAGUUUGCAUCUUGAUCUGCAGUCCCUUUUUUUUUCUCU